rnacentral:pre_miRNA from 1 species
GUUGAUUUUUCCUCUCCCUCAAAGGCUUCCAACGUCCUUUUUGUGAGCAAGCACGCUGGAAGUCUUUGUUGAAGAGGAGGAAACA